UUUAAGGUCUAACCUGCCCAAUGAGGAUUUAAAUGGCCGCAGUAUUUUGACUGUGCAAAGGUAGCAUAAUUAUUAGUUUUUUAAUUGAAAGCUUGUAUGAAGGGUUGGACGAGAUAAAAUCUGUCUUUAUUUAAAUUAAAGUAUAAUUUAACUUUUAAGUCAAAAGGCUUAAAUGUUUAUAAAAGACGAGAAGACCCUAUAGAUCUUUAUUUAGUUAAGAUUUUAAUAAUUUAGGAUUAUUUUAAUUUGGAGUCUUAAUUGAAUUUUAUUGGGGUAAUAUAAAGAUUAAAUGAAUUCUUUUUAUUUAUGACAUUAAUUUAUGAAUAUAUGAUCCAUCAAUAUUGAUUAUAAGAUUAAGUUACCUUAGGGAUAACAGCGUAAUUUUUUUGGAGAGCUCAUAUCGAUAAGAAAGUUUGCGACCUCGAUGUUGGAUUAAAAAUUAGCUUGGGUGCAGAAGCUCAAGAUUUUGGUCUGUUCGACCAUUAAAUUUUUACAUGAUCUGAGUUCAGACCGGCGUAAGCCAGGUCGGUUUCUAUCUUUAUUCAAAUAAAAUAUUUUAGUACGAAAGGACCAAGUAUUUAAUAUAAUUAUAUUUAUUUUUUGAAGAAUAUU
rnacentral:rRNA from 1 species